GGGGCUUGGAAUUGACAGGCCGGAGGUGGGGCCCGAGUUCCUGUCUCCAGCCCACGAUUUGCCGAUCCAUCUGUCUUCCUCAGAGAGAGAGGGCGGAUAAUGCAGACUGCGCUUCCUUGGAAGACGGCAGGCUCCAGGCCAGACAAACGAAUGUAUCAACCAUACAGAUGAAGAGCUGAGGCUCAGGGAAGGAAUUUGCCAAGGUCACGAAGCUGUAAGACACAGAACCUGGGGUGUCUGCCUGUAGAGCUCACACUGACUCUACAGCCACUGAUCCAAAGCUUCAAUGAGCAAGAGAUGAAGUGACCCCUCCAACCCCACAGCUCAGCGUCUUUCUUGAAGCUCCAACUCCAGGGCCAUUGUUUUCCUGUUCUCCCCGCUCCAAGGCCUCUCCUCUCUCCUUGGCCCAACUCUCUGACAGUGAUGCAGGUACUUGGCAAAUUUAAAUGGGAGGGACUGCCUUUAAAAACCAAUGAACCCCUUCCGAAUGAACAUAUUCUAUUGAAUGCCAUAUGAAGAAAAAUCUAGGGGUUUGUACUGGUUUCCUGAGGCUGCCAGUAACAAAUUGCCACAAACUAGGUGGUUUACAACAACAGAAAUGUGUUCUCACAGUUCUGAAGGCCAGACGUCCAAAAUCAGAAUGGCAUUUGCUUGAAGGAUCCAGGGGAGAAUCCCUCCUUGCUUCUUCCAGCUUCUGGUGGCUCAUGGCAAUACCUUGACUUGUAGACAUAUCCCUCCAAUCUCUACUUAUGCCUUCAUAUCACCUUCUCUUCUCUUAUGAGAACAGUUGUCAUUGGAUUUAGGACCCACCCUAAUCGAAGAUGAUCUCACAUGUAGUUUAAUUACAUCUAUAAAAUAUGCUUUUCAGUAAGGUCACUUCCGUGGUUUGAAUGCCCCCUCCAAAACUUAAUGUUGAAACUUAAUCCCCAACGUGGCAGUACUGAGAGGUGGGGCCUUUUAGAGCUGGUUGGAUUGUGAAGGUUCUGUCCUCAUGAAUGGAUUAGUUCCAUUCAUGAAUUAAUAAAUUAAUAGGCUCAUGGAUUAGUGGGUUACCAUGGGAGGGGAACUGGUGGCUUUAUAAGAGGAGGAAGAGAGACCUGGGCUAGUACAUUAAGAUUCUCAGCCCCCUUACCAUGUGGCGACCUGUGCCACCUGGGGACACUGCAGAGUCCCCACCAGCAAGAAGGCUCUCACCAGACUUAGCCCCUCAACAUUGGACUUAGCCUCCAUAACUGUAAGAAAUAAACUCCUUUUCUUCAUAAA
rnacentral:lncRNA from 1 species